GUGCUCGCUUCGGCAGCACAUAUACUAAAAUUGGAAUGAUACGGAGAAGAUUAGCAUGGCCCCUGUGCAAGGAUGACAUACAAAUUCAUGAAGCGUUCCAUAUUAAA